rnacentral:rRNA from 1 species
CUGCGAAUGGCUCAUUAAAUCAGUUAUCGUUUAUUUGAUAGUACCUUACUACUUGGAUAACCGUGGUAAUUCUAGAGCUAAUACAUGCUAAAAACCCCGACUUCGGAAGGGGUGUAUUUAUUAGAUAAAAAACCAAUGCCCUUCGGGGCUCCUUGGUGAUUCAUAAUAACUUAACGAAUCGCAUGGCCUUGUGCCGGCGAUGGUUCAUUCAAAUUUCUGCCCUAUCAACUUUCGAUGGUAGGAUAGUGGCCUACCAUGGUUUCAACGGGUAACGGGGAAUUAGGGUUCUAUUCCGGAGAGGGAGCCUGAGAAACGGCUACCACAUCCAAGGAAGGCAGCAGGCGCGCAAAUUACCCAAUCCCGACACGGGGAGGUAGUGACAAUAAAUACUGAUACAGGGCUCUUUUGGGUCUUGUAAUUGGAAUGAGUACAAUUUAAAUCCCUUAACGAGGAACAAUUGGAGGGCAAGUCUGGUGCCAGCAGCCGCGGUAAUUCCAGCUCCAAUAGCGUAUAUUAAAGUUGUUGCAGUUAAAAAGCUCGUAGUUGAACCUUGGGCCUGGCUGGCCGGUCCGCCUCACCGCGUGCACUGGUCCGGCCGGGUCUUUCCUUCUGGGGAGCCGCAUGCCCUUCACUGGGUGUGUCGGGGAACCAGGACUUUUACUUUGAAAAAAUUAGAGUGUUCAAAGCAGGCCUAUGCUCGAAUACAUUAGCAUGGAAUAAUAGAAUAGGACGUGUGGUUCUAUUUUGUUGGUUUCUAGGACCGCCGUAAUGAUUAAUAGGGAUAGUCGGGGGCAUCAGUAUUCAAUUGUCAGAGGUGAAAUUCUUGGAUUUAUUGAAGACUAACUACUGCGAAAGCAUUUGCCAAGGAUGUUUUCAUUAAUCAGUGAACGAAAGUUAGGGGAUCGAAGACGAUCAGAUACCGUCGUAGUCUUAACCAUAAACUAUGCCGACUAGGGAUCGGGCGAUGUUAUCUUUUUGACUCGCUCGGCACCUUACGAG